CAGUCAGUGCAAGAAUUUUGUAGUUAGCUGCAGCCAGAAUGGGUUCACUAACACAGGCAUCGUAUCUUCUUAUUCUUGUCCUGUGUUUUGCACUUUUCCAUAUCACAGAAAGCAUUGGAUCUACCACAGCAUCAAGUUUCAGCAUACAAAAUGUAUCCUUAAACACAAGUAAGUCAUAUAAAGAGUAAUUUCUACUGUAUGUUUCUGGAUUGGAUACCACCUUAAUAUUUAUAGGUAGUAUAGCGAUUACAGGUAGUUGGACCGUGGUCUCACUGGGGAAUAGACCUUUGUGUACACUUCCAGACACUCCAAAACAGAGGCACAGACAGUUCAGUUCAGUAUAACUGGUCUUUGGCCAGUUUAUUGGAAGCUUUUCAGUGAGACAAGAUACAGAAAACAAAAAAAACCUAAGCCUGUCUGGCUGUAACUAAUAGACAGGUACUUCCCUGACUAACCAAGGACAAGGGCCUUGUGUCCCAAUCCCUUAUAAAGCAAAGAUGCACAAGAUAAGUUUUUCCACACUUACAUGGCAGUUAGAACACAGAACAGCAGCUCCUGCUUUCCCCAAUGUUCUCUCUCACUCACUUUCUGAAAACCCCAGCUCCUUUUUGUAGGGAGCUGUGGAAGGAAAAGUCUUGCAGGCCCUAGAUGGCCCCUCGCAUUCCU